rnacentral:rRNA from 1 species
UACGUAGGGUGCGAGCGUUAAUCGGAAUUACUGGGCGUAAAGGGUGCGCAGGCGGUCCCGCAAGUCAGGCGUGAAAUCCCCGGGCUUAACCUGGGAAUGGCACUUGAAACUACGGGACUGGAGUGUGGCAGAGGGAGGUGGAAUUCCACGUGUAGCGGUGAAAUGCGUAGAUAUGUGGAGGAACACCAAUGGCGAAGGCAGCCUUCUGGGCCAACACUGACGCUCAUGCACGAAAGCGUGGGGAGCAAACAGG